rnacentral:lncRNA from 1 species
UACUAUAUUCUCUUUCUCUUUUCUUGUUACUAUAAAUUCUUUUUGGAACUUUAAUCCUUGUUCUGUUUACUGCAAAUGGUGGGGUAAGUUUUCUUUACGUUCUCUUGUAUAUGUGUGGGUUAUAAAUGUUUUUAGGCGUUGGGGUUGUAUUAAGUUUGUGUUUUUGGGUUUUUGUAAUAAUUUCGAUACAUUUUUAGGAAGAGAACGAGAAGCAAUCGGAAGUCAUCCAACAACUUAGACGUUGAGCAAUCGGAAGUCCUCCAACAACUUAGACGUUGGUUUGUUGUUGAUUUCUUUUGGGGUAGUGUUCGAAUGCGUUUUUGGGGGGUCGAUUAAGUACGUUGUGGUUGAAUUUUUG